CAGCAGCCGCGGUAAUACGUAGGGUGCGAGCGUUGAUCGGAAUUACUGGGCGUAAAGCGUGCGCAGGCGGUUGUGUAAGGCAGGUGUGAAAUCCCCGGGCUUAACCUGGGAACUGCGCUUGUGACUGCACAGCUAGAGUAUGGCAGAGGGGGGUGGAAUUCCACGUGUAGCAGUGAAAUGCGUAGAGAUGUGGAGGAACACCGAUGGCGAAGGCAGCCCCCUGGGCCAAUACUGACGCUCAUGCACGAAAGCGUGGGGAGCAAACAGGAUUAGAUACCCCUGUAGUCCCUGUCUCUUAUAC
rnacentral:rRNA from 1 species